AGCCUCCUAAAUACAAGCACCCAAUUGAAAAACCACCGGUUUACAAGCCUCCGGUUUACAAACCUCCGGUCUAUAAGCCACCGGUUUACAAGCCACCCGUGCACAAACCACCGGUUUACAAGCCACCGGUUUAUAAGCCACCCGUGCACAAGCCGCCGGUUUACAACAAGCCACCGUACCACCAUGACAAGCCUCCUCAUGGCAAGUACCCUCCACAACAUGACUAAGGAAAAGCACAUAUAUGUGCAAAUUUAAACGAGGCAUGUUAUUAAUUAGUUAUCGUAUGCUUUAAAUAAGACAUAUGCUUCGUUUCUUUACUAUCUUGUUGGUUCACAACUUUAUUAUUCAUAUCUACAUAUAUAAGGAGUGUUCCUUAUGCAUUGGGUGGUUUAAUUUCAUUUCAUUCCUUUUGUAUAUGAUGCUAUGAGCAUCUAUCAUAUGUGUUGUGUGUUUGUGUAAUCCAUAAUAUUAAAAAAAAAAGAGAAUAAUAUUAUUGUUGCUUUUAAUACAGCUAGUGUUGGUUGAUUGGUUUGCU
rnacentral:lncRNA from 1 species